UGUCUCAGUGUAUCUGAGUCUCGGCACGAUCAACAUGUUGCUCUCUCUCUGGCUCGCUGUGAUGAUGUCGUCCUGCUGCGUUUCUACUCUCCAUGAAGAAGAGUCGACCACGGCCGAGCACGAUGACCUGACCGAGACGGUGACGCCGAGUACGACCACGACCACACAGUCUCCUUCGACGCUUACUACGUGACCGGAACGUAUAAUCCUCCUAAUGCCCAAAACACGCCGACCCCGGUGUACACCGAGCAGACAGAGACCCCGACGCCCGACUACGACUACACAGAAGACUACGACUACGUGACCGGAACGUAUAAUCCUCGUUACGUCCACAACAAGGUGA